UACGAAAGGGGCUAGCGUUGUUCGGAAUUACUGGGCGUAAAGCGCACGUAGGCGGCUUGGUAAGUUGGGGGUGAAAUCCCAAGGCUCAACCCUGGAACUGCCUCCAAAACUGCUAGGCUAGAGGAUGCGAGAGGUUGGCGGAAUUCCGAGUGUAGAGGUGAAAUUCGUAGAUAUUCGGAAGAACACCAGUGGCGAAGGCGGCCAACGGGCGCAUUUCUGACUCUGAGGUGCGAAAGCGUGGGGAGCAAACAGG
rnacentral:rRNA from 1 species